AAAUAGUUGGUAAAUAAAGGUGCUAGUACAAACGAGUACAGCUUAAAAGGGAAGCAGGUAAAAGUCCUGCACGGUCCCGCCACUGUGAUGGGGAGAUGUUUCACACGAGCCACUGGGUCCAUACUGGGAAGGCGUGAAGCAUUGAUGAUCCUAAGUCAGAAGACCUGCCUUUGUUAACGAACCAAU
rnacentral:ncRNA from 2 species